UAACAAAUAAAAUAAAGUGGCAGCAGCUGUAAUGUCUUGUGCUUCGCAAUAUCUUCCCUGUACUAGUGUAGUAUAUAGAAACCAAAUUUUUCCAAAAGAAAAAAAUCAAACGAAACAAUUGCAUAUUUCCAAGAGAACCAUAUAUGUACACGUCCUGGUCAUUACAACUCCGGCCCUUCAUUUCAAGGCUUUUCAAAUCCAAAUACUCGCAUUAGAUUGCAAUGAAGUGCAAGCUUAAACUAAUGCUUCUGUAUAUGGCGUAACGUGAUUAAUUGCAGCAGCUGGAGGGCGGGCUGGGCCCAGAUUUGGCGGCACGGAAUAUCUCCGCCACCACCCCGAGCCCGCUGUCCAGCCAUCCGCCGGCCCCGUCCCCCGCCAGCGGCCUCGCCGCCGCCGCGAGCACGCUCAGGAUCUGCACCAGGAACAGCACCAGCAGCGCCACCUUCGCCGACAUCGCCAUUGAUGGGAACUGCUGCCAAAGCUUGAGACGACGCGGAGGGAGAGACGAGCAGACCGAGAUCCUGGCUUGCGAGUCUCUGAUGAGCUCCAGUGCUAGCUGCUCCC
rnacentral:lncRNA from 1 species